rnacentral:rRNA from 1 species
UGUCACGUGACUUGUCUAUGGCCAUGCCCGAUCCCGUCUGAUGUCGGAAGCUAAGCAGGGUCGGGUCUGGUUAGUACUUGGAUGGGAGACCACCUAGGAAGACCAGGUGUAAAAA